rnacentral:sRNA from 1 species
GCCGAGAAGCUGGACUGGGCCCGCGAGAGGCUCGAGCAGCAGGUACCUGUGAACCAAGUGUUUGGGCAGGAUGAGAUGAUCGACGUCAUCGGGGUGACCAAGGGCAAAGGCUACAAAGGGGUCACCAGUCGUUGGCACACCAAGAAGCUGCCCCGCAAGACCCACCGAGGCCUGCGCAAGGUGGCCUGUAUUGGGGCAUGGCAUCCUGCUCGUGUAGCCUUCUCUGUGGCACGCGCUGGGCAGAAAGGCUACCAUCACCGCACUGAGAUCAACAAGAAGAUCUAUAAGAUUGGCCAGGGCUACCUUAUCAAGGACGGCAAGCUGAUCAAGAACAAUGCCUCCACUGACUAUGACCUAUCUGACAAGAGCAUCAACCCUCUGGUAAGUAAUGGGUGUUCUGCUCUGUGAGGCCAUCCCAGGCCUCGUGCUUUUGGGGAUAGGCUGCUUCCUAGGGGCUGCUAGCAGGAUCGUUAACUGAAGCCAGCACAACACCUAGCUGUGUCCCUUGUAAGUGGCAUGUUGUCAUCUGAGUCCACUCGUUGGGGUUGGCUGGUGAG